CAGAAAUAGAAAUUUGUAGUGAUGUGCACCUGAGAUUUGUACAGUGUUGUGAACCAAUGUUACUGCAAUAAACAAAAAAUUAAAAAAAA